CCCUACGGGACGCAACAGUGAGGAAUAUUGGUCAAUGGACGCAAGCCUGAACCAGCCAAGUAGCGUGCAGGAUGACGGCCCUCCGGGUUGUAAACUGCUUUUAGUUGGGAAUAAAAGGGGGCUCGUGAGCCCCGUAUUGUAUGUACCAUCAGAAAAAGGACCGGCUAAUUCCGUGCCAGCAGCCGCGGUAAUACGGAAGGUCCGGGCGUUAUCCGGAUUUAUUGGGUUUAAAGGGUGCGCAGGCGGCUCUGCAAGUCAGGCGUGAAAGCUAGGGGCUCAACCCCUAAACUGCGCUUGAAACUGUG
rnacentral:rRNA from 1 species